rnacentral:rRNA from 1 species
CGUACUGAGACACGGACCAGACUCCUACGGGAGGCAGCAGUGGGGAAUAUUGCACAAUGGGCGCAAGCCUGAUGCAGCAACGCCGCGUGAGGGACGAAGGCCUUCGGGUUGUAAACCUCUUUUAGCAGGGAAGAAGCGAAAGUGACGGUACCUGCAGAAAAAGCACCGGCUAACUACGUGCCAGCAGCCGCGGUAAUACGUAGGGUGCAAGCGUUGUCCGGAAUUAUUGGGCGUAAAGAGCUCGUAGGCGGUUUGUCACGUCUGCUGUGAAAUUUCGAGGCUCAACCUCGAACUUGCAGUGGGUACGGGCAGGCUAGAGUGCGGUAGGGGAGAUGGGAAUUCCUGGUGUAGCGGUGGAAUGCGCAGAUAUCAGGAGGAACACCAAUGGCGAAGGCACAUCUCUGGGCCGUAACUGACGCUGAGGAGCGAAAGCGUGGGGAGCAAACAGGAUUAGAUACCCUGGUAGUCCACGCCGUAAACGGUGGGUGCUAGCUGUGGGCCACAUUCCACGUGGUCCGUGACGAAGUUAACACAUUAAGCACCCCGCCUGGGGAGUACGGCCGCAAGGCUAAAACUCAAAGGAAUUGACGG